rnacentral:rRNA from 1 species
CCUACGGGAGGCAGCAGUGAGGCAUAUUGGUCAAUGGGCGCGAGCCUGAACCAGCCUAGUAGCGUGAAGGAUGACUGCCCUACGGGUUGUAAACUUCUUUUAUAAAGGAAUAAAGUGAGGCACUAGUGCCUUUUUGUAUGUCCUUUAUGAAUAAGGAUCGGCUAACUCCGUGCCAGCAGCCGCGGUAAUACGGAGGAUCCGCGCGUUAUCCGGAUUUAUUGGGUUUAAUGGGAGCGUAGAUGGGUUGUUAAGUCAGUUGUGAAAGUUUGCGGCUCAACCGUAAAAUUGCAAUUGAUACUGGCAGCCUUGAGUACAGGUGAGGUAGGCGGAAUUCGUGGUGUAGCGGUGAAAUGCUUAGAUAUCACGAAGAACUCCGAUUGCGAAGGCAGCUUACUAAACUGCCACUGACAUUGAUGCUCGAAAGUGUGGGUAUCAAACAGGAUUAGAUACCCUAGUAGUC